AUUUGAUGAUGUGGACAUUUAUGGAUUAGGUCCCUGAAACACUCCUAGGUCUCAAAGAAAAGUUCCCCAUUUGUCUGUGUGAAACAUGUGAUUGUCCUUUGCAGCU